rfam:Phycicoccus sp. Root563 contig_1, whole genome shotgun sequence.
GGCGUACCUGCUCCUCCCCCCCGGAGCAUGGUGCGUCGACGGCCCCGGUUGUCCCCCCGACCGGGGCCGUCCCCU